AUACGGAGGGUCCGAGCGUUAUCCGGAAUCAUUGGGUUCAAAGGGUCCGUAGGCGGGAAUCUAAGUCAGUGGUGAAAUCUUGCAGCUCAACUGUAAAAUUGCCAUUGAUACUGGAUUUCUUGAAUUAGUGUGAAGUGGUUAGAAUGUGUAGUGUAGCGGUGAAAUGCAUAGAUAUUACACAGAAUACCAAUUGCGAAGGCAGAUCACUAACACUAUAUUGACGCUAAGGGACGAAAGCGUGGGGAGCGAACAGGAUUAGAAACCCUGGUAGUCC
rnacentral:rRNA from 1 species